rnacentral:rRNA from 1 species
AACGAACGCUGGCGGCAUGCUUAACACAUGCAAGUCGAACGAAACCUUCGGGCCUAGUGGCGCACGGGUGCGUGAGGCGGGGUAAGCAGCACGUAGGUUCGGAAUAACUGCCCGAAGGGGGAGCUAAGAACGGUUAAGGUAAUCGGACCAAGGAUCUAUUGCUGUUGGAUGGGGGCGGGUUAGAUUAGCUAGUUGGUAGGGUAGAAGCCUACCAAGGGGACAAUGCAUAGCUGGUCUGAGAGGAUGAUCAGCCACACUGGGACUGAGACACGGCCCAGACUCCUACGCGAGGCAGCAGUAGAGAAUAUUGGGCAAUGGGCGAAAGCCUAGUCCAGCAAUGCCGCGUGAGUGAUGAAGGCCUUAGGGUUGUAAAGCUCUUUUACCCGGGAUGAUAAUGACAGUACCGGGAGAAUAAGCACCGGCUAACUCCGUG